AUCUAGCUGACGAGUCCCGAUGAGGACGAAAUGUGCGUCCUGGAC
rnacentral:hammerhead_ribozyme from 1 species